rnacentral:lncRNA from 1 species
UCCUGGUUUCUUCCUUUAACUUUUCCACCAAACAGGCACAUGAUAUACUUUACUGAAAUAACUUAUAUAGCAAUAUGAAUUUUUUUUUUUUUUUUUUGAGGCAGAGUUUCGCUUUUGUUGCCCAGGCUAGAGUGCAAUGGCGCGAUCUCGGCUCACUGCAACCUCUGCCUCCUGGGAAUUCAAGAAGAUUGAGUCUAACCCCUCAUUUUAUAGAUAACUGAGCCCCAGAGAGAUUAUGGAAUACUAGAAGUCAUAUAUUAAGGUGUUACUUUUACAGUAAAUAAAGGAGAUGGUAGUCUACUGUAUUGGU